UGGUGCUGGGUAUUGGGCGGGUUCUGGCCUCUGAUUGGUCCACCAGUCUGAACCGGUGACACCUGACAGGUGCUACAGCUGCUGCCGUGCAGAGGGGCCUGGGGUCGGCCUCUGUUUGCUGCGUGUGUCCUGAAUCUGCAGGAGGAACCAGGAGGAACCAAGAACCCAGUACAUCGUCCUGCGAAGUUUCAAUGAAAUGGGAAAAGUCAGCAAAGAUGUGACGCCUCUCCUCGUCCAAAGGGUCACGCUGCGAUGUCCUGUUCCUGUCCGCGUGAGCAGAGUAUUGGAGCAGACAGCCGCAUGUUGAGAAGACUUUGCCUUGAAGAAUGCAGCAGGACAACAUUUGGGUCGGACGCGUUGACAACAACCGAAGAAUUGAAGCAUGCAGGAGGGGGGACUUGACGUAAAAAUUGUGCUGUGGACGUCACAUGAUUGGGGAAGAAGAAGCUACUGACUCAGCCGUAAUGUUUGUUUUGGCAUUGACAUCAGUGCCAUAUGAAUUUAGCUGGACAAAAAUCAACUAAAGAGUCAAAAGCCUGGGAUUUUUGUAUUAAUCUAGUUUUGUGUCUGU